GUGGCCACAAUAGUUGCAGGCAGCAGGGCUCGAGGGACAGGGAAGCCAGGUGGAGUGGGGGAACUUGCCCGCUGAAGUGGCCAUGGGGUCUGGCAAGCGGGCUGGGAUGAGUGGCAUCAGAGGCCACUUGGGUGGAGGGCCGUGCGCCUGGCUCCCGACCCCCAACUCCUUAGGCCUCAGUGUUGAGCUGCAAGGGUGUCAGCCCUGCCCAUCUCCUCAUUCAGGAGGAGGAGGGGACAGGCUUCAGCUCUGAGAAGGGUGGGGAAGGGUGCUGGUAGCACCAGGCCGGGGAGCUGGGGUCCGUCGUGGCUCUAAAUACUGCAGCUUUCUGUGGAGGUGGCGUGGAGGUCAGCCCCUCUUCUUCCCACAUGGAGGCUGCAGAAGCUGGAGGUCCCAGGGGUGGCCUUGAGGACCCAGGUCUCUGCGGACCUCCUCGGGCAGCCCUGGGGCCAUGGCGGGAGCUUCCCUGGUCAGAGCUGGAGCAGAGGUCAGCACGUGACCCCCGCUCUGUCCCCAUGGCCUUGCCCUGACCCCCCCUUCCUCCUGGUGUGGUGCCAGCCUCUGGCUGGCUGCAGGAGAGGGGCUGCCCCUCGGGGAAAACACAGGAUGGAGAGGGUCCCCGCAGGAGGCCGUGGGCGGCGAGGAUCCUCUCCCUGGGAUCCCCGCAGCCCCAGCCUGGAGGUUUCCUAGAGAGCUGAUUGCUUCCUGUGCUCCCUGCCAGGCCCGAGAGGACAGGAAGCGAUAGCGGGAAAAGAGUGCAACUGUGGGUGCCGCUGGAGGCGUGCGCGAGAAACCCAGGGGACACUGUGGGGGAGUCUGUGCGGUGGGUGCGGGCAUGAGCGAACCAGGCACAACCAGUUUGUGUGUGCAGCUGCGUGCGAGGCUGGACAGAUGCAGGAGAGCCUGUAUGUGACAUGUCUGUGUGACUGCACUGCAUGUACAUGGGCGAGCCUGUGUGAUGAUGGUGAGUGUGGCUGAGUGCUCACGGGUGUGUUUGGGAGAGACGCUGGCUCGGACCAUCGGGGGAGCCUGAGUCUGGCCCUGGGUGGGAUUUUGAUGCUCUGCGUGUGUGAGGGGCACAGCGAUGGGGUGACGCUGUGCGUGUCAGAGUAGAAUGAGUAAUUCUGUGUGACCCAGGGUGCUGUGGCGUGGCCGCUUAUGUUGCUGCGUGUGUGCGCACAGCUUGUGAGAUGGUCUCAGUGUAUAGGACUCUCAUGGUCUGUGUGUGUGAUUAUGUGACACUGUUUUGUUUUUGUGUAGGGUUUUUGGUGGAGAUCUGGGGAAGGAUUCCAGGUGUAUAUGACAUUUUGUAUGAGAAAAACUGACGGUAUGGGAGGUGUGUGUGUGUGUGAGGGGUUGUGUGUGUGAGACACCAGGACACGGAGGGCCGCACCGGCGCAGUGGACGCGCUCAGCGCUGAGGAGGCUGCGUGUGAAGGAAGGUGUGCAGGAGCAGCACCAAGGAAACUGCUUGGCGCUGCGUGUGAGGGACCGGGGUGACAGACGCCUCUGUGGGUGGUCACUAUCUGGGAUUGUUUGGGGCUGUAGGACAGUGUGGGCAGCAUCCUGCAGGGCUGUGCCAGGCGUGGCAUGGGACCGUGUGACAAAUUGUGGUCUCAGUGCAUGUGGCAGCUGUGUGGGGGACCGUCAAAAAGAUGACUGUUAAAAACAAGACGGCAUGCAUUUAAUGCCACUGAACUGCGCACUUAAAAAUGGUUAAGGCUGGCCGCUGUGGCUCAGUGGUUGAGUGUCGAUCUAUGAACCAGGAGGUCAUGGUUCGAUUCCAGUCAGCCCAUAUGCUGUGGUUACGGGCUUGAUCACCAGUGUGGGGUGUGCUGGAGGCAGCCAAUCAAUGAUUCUCUUUCAUCAUUGAUGUUUCUACCUCUCCCUCUUCCUUCCUCUCUGAAAUCAAGAAAAGUAUAUAUUUUUAAAAAUGGUUAAAAUCGGCCCUGGCCGGGCGCGCAGUGGUUAGAGCACUGGCCCUCAGGCUGAAGGGUCCCAGGCUCCAUUCCAGUACCUCCGUGACAGGCUCAAUCCCCGCCCGCCCCGGGUCAGGGUGAGUGUGGGAGACAACCAAUCAAUGUGUCUCUCCCAUCGAUGUUUCUCUCUCUGUUUCUCCCUCUCCCUCUCCCUUCCACUCUCUCCAAAAAACAAUGGAAAAGUAUUCUCCAGUGAGGAUUAACAAAACAAAACAAAUCAGUGAAACACAUUCUCGGGGGAAGAUUUUAAAAAAUUGUUAAAAUCAUAGAUUUUAUAUUGUAUAUUUCUUAUCACAAUAAAAUGAAAAGCAGAG